GAAGACACACUUAACUUUGCUUAUCUGAGCUCCCUUCCUGGGUUCCUCAUAGUACUUUUUUUUUUCAACUCCAGUUUCUUCUGGAUAAAAAGACGGUGUCCUCCUGGUUUAGAAUAAAUGCCCUGCUUUACUUCUUUUAGGGGACUGAAAAUAUUCUGAAGUAAAGCUGAGCAGUGAUCUGAGGAUACCUGUAGAUUCUUCUUAUAGAAUUCUUGCUUUGUUGUAAUACUGACCUUGCUCUUGGCCCUCUGCUCUUUGCUUCUGGGUUGUCAUGAACAGGCCAAAGUUCCUUCCACUACACACAUAGCCAUAGAUUCCUGUUUCACCUUCAUAAUGGACUGAUAUCCCUUGAACUUUGAGCCAAUUAAAUCCUUCCUCUUAUUGUUGCUGUCAAUCAUUCGAUCAGUGAUGAAAUGAAUACAACCUAGAAAACUGAAAGCUUGGAUUCAGAUGGGAGUCUCUGUAAUUAUCUUCAUGUCAGCAUCAUUCAGAGUCCUCACCUGUCUUGUCUACAGAAGUGAGAAGAGAUGUGGGAUCCCCUAGAGCUGGAGUUACCAACAGUUGUGAGCUGCUAUGCGUGGUUGCUGAGAUAAAGACUCUGGACUUUGUAAGAAGAGAAAGCCAUGCUCUUAGCCACCAAACUAUUCCUCAGGCCCCUAAUGUGUUCUAUUAAGUUUAUCAGACCUUGGUGUCCACACAGCUGCCCCUUCUGGGAUUUCAGAACACAGUAAGUUUUCAUUUGGUAAAGAAAGGAGAAACACAAAGAGGAGGAAGG
rnacentral:lncRNA from 1 species